CUUCCCUCCCCCCCCCCCCCCCUCUCUCCCUCUUCUCUCUCAGUUGUCCUUUGCACCACCGGAUGGCAUCCAACAAAAGAAACUAACGUCUCUGUGAUGCACUAUCGAACGACAAGUUUCUCUGUUCUCCACCAUACAACACCAACUGGCGAUUCAAUGUACCACAACGUGACAAGUGCCAAUGAGGUUCAGAAAUGCAACGAUAUCUCAGCCAUUCAAACCCAUAUUAUCAACAAAGCCAAUAUCGUUUUUCUAAAGGAGAAGCCACAGCUAAGACCAAGGGCGGGCGUGACCAGCACCUGUGAGAUCUAUUGCCAAAGCCUCCUUGACUCUUUCGAGUUAUGCUCUCUUGGAUCUGGUGCUCUGAUGGAUUUCUAUUUGUUCCUUUUUUUUCUCUUUCAUCAGUGCACUGAAUUUAACAUUUGUUCUAUACGCUCGAAACCCUAAAAUUUGACAACAUUCUACCAGAAAAAUUAGUCAGGUUUACAUGUUCGUUUUAAUAAUUACUAUCUUUCCUUUUCCUGUUAUCUGCGUUUGAUGGAUCCUUCUUAGGGUUUUUCUACGUUUUAUAUCACACGUUUACACGAAUUCUUGUUUGUGUAGCUCGAUAUUGAGUUUCAGAUUUUCAAUCUUAACUUUAAUUAAUUAAUUUAUUAUGAUCGUUUUUAUUUUGGAUGCUCUUCAGGGUCUCAAGUUAAAUUUGUUAUAAUAUUUAAGGUUCUCAAAUUUUCAUCUUCCUGUUUUGAUUUGAUUCCCCAUGCGUUACUUUUUCUUCAAUUCGUAAAUUAUUCGUCUUAUGCUCUCUGCACGGUGUUUAUUGGGUUGAUCCAUUUUAGGAGACAUGYCCUACCUAUUUGGAUUUUCCUUUCUGUUUAUGUAGACAAAGGUUUUGACUUUUGAUUAUAUUUACAAAGAGUUUCAGAGGUCUAUCUAGUUUAUUGUAUCUUCCACGGCUUUGGAAGGUUUGGGUUGUUUAUGGUUGGAAUUUUUAUCUUUUGAAAAAGAAAAUUCUUUGUGAAGUCAGUUUUACAUGGAUACAGACGUGGGAAUUGGAAUACAAAUCAUAGCCAGGACAGGAGUCUGACUCGGCAAGUGGUUAAAACAUGGAUUGGUAGGCAUGCCUAUGGAAUACAAAUUAGUUUUGCAUGGAUCCUUAAAUGGUGCCUUCAUAUCCUCUAUCCCAUUUGACUGUAGGUUGUGGAUCCCAUCACCUGAUGGGAUAUAUUCCCAUAUUUUCUCCAAAGUUCAGUGGCAUCCAAAUAACAACCAAAUUAAUUUCUUGUUAGAAAGAUUUGAUUCUGUAUCUCUUCCUAUCUUGGAUUAUUUAUAUGUGAAGUUACAUGUGUAAAGAUAAACCUGUCUGAUAUGAUGCAAAGAAGAAGAAGAUACAACUGCAAGUAUUUUUCUCUCCACAUGCAUUCAUCCCUGCUUGAAAGGUAGGAGUCAAUCAACCACUUGUUCCUUCACUAUUCAGUUGCAGUCUUGAAGAGGACCUGUGAAACUUUUACCUAAACUUGAUUGCGCUUCAGUAGGAUCCUCUUCAUGGUGCACAUGACUUCAGGAAUUAGAGGCCACAGGUACUGGGUGUGAGGCAAAAGGUGUUUUGGAGACCACCCACACUGUCACGUGGUUACCCUUGGGAGCAAAGGAACUGUGAGAGUUUUUGAAAAUAACCCUCAACUCUUGGGGUCAUUCAAGAUUGAGUCCUUUAUAUGUCACCUUUAGUGGCCACUGUUCAAAAAGUGUUUAGGAAUUGGAGGCCACAGGUACUGGAGAGGCAAAAGGUGUUUUGGAGAGUAACCACCCACACUGUCACGUGGGUACCUUGGGAGAAAAGGAACUGAAGAGUUUUUGAAAAUAAUCCUCAACUCUUGGGGUCAUUCAAGAUAGAGUCCUUUAUAUGCCAGCUUUAUUGUCCACUGUUCAAAAAGAGUUCCAAACCAUAUCUUUGAUGACAUGCAGGACUGCUUUUGGUAGAAAAUAGAAACUUAUACAACAAUCUCUUGGUGGUUCUCCAAUGAUGACUGUCUCCACUGGAGAGAGUUAUACAAGAGCAGUCAUUUCCCCCAAACUUCACUUUGGUGGCAGUUCAUCACUAGGCAAUAUUGGGCCUCCCAGUGUAAGGACUUCAUUUCCCAUAGGCAGAGCAUAUGGUAGGCAUUUAAUACCUCUAUUGGUAAUGCUGAUUCCACUGAUAUAGCACAUGUUGUGUUACUCUGGAGUUUUUUGUAUAGUCGUGAUGUUAUUCCUUUUGUAAGGGUCACUGAUAUAGUAAGUCUUUUUUUUUCUGUAUUUUUUCUUUAUUAUUCAUCAUGUAUAUCUCUUUUUGUAAUUUUUUAUUCACUUUAAUGAAGUUUUUUAUCAUUGUUUUUUUAAUAAGUAAGCUUUUUGAUCACUGUUGGCUAAAAAUCUUACUCAGAACUAUCCCUCAAGAAUCUAUGUGGUGGUGUUCUAGAAAUAAUGUACCUCAAGGUACGAGGCAUAUGCCUUGUACUUUUAGGAACAAGCCCCAAGGUUGAGCCUUAUGGUUUUCUCUUCAAGAUUCACCUCAAGGAAUAAGACUCACAUGAUGUAGUGGUCAUGCUUUUAACUUGAAAGGAAUGAUCUUAUGGAGCUUGAUCCUGUUCAUGACUUGCCUAGGUUAUUUGGAAAGUGCAUAAUACUAGGGUGUAAAUCUAUGCAUAAUACUAGGGUGUAAAUCAAUGCAUAAUAUUUUUGGAAGGUAGUUGAUGGCAUUUUGACACUCAUUUUCCUCGGUUAAGCUGUGGAGCUUUUGCAAAUCAUGCUUUUUUUUGUUGGGUUGACAUAAUACUUCCCAAUAUUAUUUCCUUUCUAUGCUUCAUAUUUAUUCAAAUCUCCACCCAUUAGCAUUACUCAAUGUUGGUCCUAGCCAUCUGGGGUCUUGGGAGGGGUUGAUGGACCUAAACUUUGACAUUCUUAGCUCAACCUCAAAAGCAUAUUUUCAUGCUUGUUGACAUGAGAUUUAGUCAAAUUCCUACUUUGCCUAUAAAGCAAAGAUAGGAAAACUUCAAAUACAAAAUGGCUUUGAUUCCUUCUUCCAUAACUUAGCUCUCAGAGAAGAGAUAAGAGGGCCCUAUGGAGAAUGUGGUAAGAAAUCCAUAAUAGAGUCCAAUCACCAAGGCGACUGAAUUGAAUAUCUUCAUACAUAAGGAGAAUAGAUUACCUAGUGGAAAAGAUUUAAAAAUCAUCAAAAAUCUCCCUUUUUCUUUUUUAUUGGAUUUUCUCGAUUACUUCAAAUACAAAAUGGCCUUCUAUCUCUAGCUCAAUGAAGGAAAAGUUUCCUUCAUUUUGUAUUGGAAUAGAGUUAUUUUAUACAUCUCUUUCCACUUUAUUGAAUAGAGUUAUUUUAUUUCUUAACCAAUAAUGGGAAAAAGAUUAAGAUAGUGUUUGAUAACUGCUGAAUUGGGUGCUGAAAGCAGAGUUUGAAAAGUAUUUCAAACUUGUAAUAGUUUAAAUGCACAGGUAUUAUUGGUAUAUGAUAAAAAUUGUAAGGAGAAAUUAAUCAUUCCAAUUCCUGUGUUGUCAUCAUUCUGCAAAUAAGUGGUUUGCAAGUUACUGGAAUGCUGAAUUGAGCAUUUUAAAUUUGGGAAUCUCUUCCUUAUACUGCUUUUAGUGCCUAUUUCUAAAGUAAUCAAAACCAGCCAAGAAUUUCAAAGUUUUAAGAAAGGUAAAGUUCAUAUGCUAUAUGUCUUGGGAUGCUUUAGAUACUAAUUUCUAUUUUAAUUGUAGGCAUAAUGAUUAAGCUUUUCAAAGUGAAGGAAAAGCAAAGGGAGAUGUCAGAAAAUGCCAAUGGAAGGGCACCUAUCAAGAAACAAAGUGCAGGGGAAUUGCGUCUUCAUAAAGGUUGUGGAAUCAGUGAAUGAGCUUGCUCAAAUUAUGAAGGAUCCGUCAGUCCUUAUGAUAGACCGGGUCAGGGAAGGCAGGAGUCUAGGCCAUACAAUCGAGGUUGUAGAUCUUGAAUCCAAUAUCUCAGAAGUUAAGCUGAUGGUUCUGGUUUGCUGUCUAUUGUGGUUCUGCAAUUGAGAGGCUUGAAAUUUUAGGAUUGUUGUGGCUCCUGAUUCUACCCUUACAAUUCUAUAUAUCAAGGGUUCAUGAUAGAGAAUUAAUCUUCGUUGGAUUUUGGUAGAAGCAGUAGAAGAAGAUUUGUAAACCAAGUGUUUUGAGUGGAAGUAUACAUGUUUAUGAGAAUGAAGGAUGAAAUUUGUAUCAAGAAGUUUCAAUUUGAAACUAAGAUGUGUUUGACUUAAAUAUUUUAAAUGGAGA